rnacentral:rRNA from 1 species
CCUACGGGUGGCAGCAGUAAGGAAUAUUGGUCAAUGGACGCAAGUCUGAACCAGCCAUGCCGCGUGGAGGAUGAAGGUCCUCUGGAUUGUAAACUUCUUUUAUCUGAGAAGAAACCCCAGAAUUCUUUUUGGGUUGACGGUACCAGAUGAAUAAGCACCGGCUAACUCCGUGCCAGCAGCCGCGGUAAUACGGAGGGUGCAAGCGUUAUCCGGAUUCACUGGGUUUAAAGGGUGCGUAGGUGGGCUAGUAAGUCCGUGGUGAAAUCUCCGAGCUUAACUCGGAAACUGCCGUGGAUACUAUUAGUCUUGAAUACUGUGGAGGUAAGCGGAAUAUGUCAUGUAGCGGUGAAAUGCUUAGAUAUGACAUAGAACACCGAUAGCGAAGGCAGCUUGCUACACAGUCAUUGACACUGAGGCACGAAAGCGUGGGGAUCAAACAG